UACGAAGGGGGCUAGCGUUGCUCGGAAUUACUGGGCGUAAAGGGCGCGUAGGCGGAUAUUUAAGUUAGAGGUGAAAGCCCAGGGCUCAACCCUGGAAUAGCCUUUAAUACUGGAUAUCUUGAGUUCGGGAGAGGUGAGUGGAACUCCGAGUGUAGAGGUGAAAUUCGUAGAUAUUGGGAAGAACACCGGUGGCGAAGGCGGCUAUCUGGACCGUAACUGACGCUGAGGCGCGAAAGCGUGGGGAGCAAACAGG
rnacentral:rRNA from 1 species